AGCUAACGCGUUAAAUCGACCGCCUGGGGAGUACGGCCGCAAGGUUAAAACUCAAAUGAAUUGACGGGGGCCCGCACAAGCGGUGGAGCAUGUGGUUUAAUUCGAUGCAACGCGAAGAACCUUACCUACUCUUGACAUCCAGAGAAGACCUCAGAGAUGAGGUUGUGCCUUCGGGAGCUCUGAGACAGGUGCUGCAUGGCUGUCGUCAGCUCGUGUUGUGAAAUGUUGGGUUAAGUCCCGCAACGAGCGCAACCCUUAUCCUUUGUUGCCAGCGCGUGAAGGCGGGAACUCAAAGGAGACUGCCGGUGAUAAACCGGAGGAAGGUGGGGAUGACGUCAAGUCAUCAUGGCCCUGACGAGUAGGGCUACACACGUGCUACAAUGGCGGAUACAAAGUGAAGCGACCUCGCGAGAGCAAGCGGAACACACAAAGUCUGUCGUAGUCCGGAUUGGAGUCUGCAACUCGACUCCAUGAAGUCGGAAUCGCUAGUAAUCGUAGAUCAGCAUGCUACGGUGAAUACGUUCCCGGGCCUUGUACACACCGCCCGUCACACCAUGGGAGUGGGUUGCAAAAGAAGUCGGUAGCUUAACCGCAAGGAGGGCGCUGACCACUUUGUGGCUCAUGACUGGGGUGAAGUCGUAACAAGGUAACCGUAGGGGAACCUGCGGUUGGAUCACCUCCUUACCU
rnacentral:rRNA from 1 species